AAGUAUAAGAUUUUUUUUAGUCGAAUCAGAACAUAGUGGGUUUUUAUCUACAAAGAUGAAUUAUAAACUGGUGAAAGAGCUUUUUAUUUUUUUAGACCUUGUCAACUGGAGGGACAAAGAUUGGUGAUAACUAUUCAGUGUAAGAAUGGGCCAGUUAUGUUCAAGUUGUCAACAACACAAUACCCAUAUUGCCAACGCUUGUGAUUAUUUCAUUAGAAUUGUUUUGUCUGAUAACGAGGGCAGAAAGACAACACAAGAAAUCCGUGGUGGAGACUAUAUCGUUAUCCCUACAGUGCAUGGUUCCGUCACCCUCAGUGUCUUUGUCCAGACGGAAAUGGGGGGCUUCGACGAAAAUGCUGCUGCCAGUUGUACGGAUAGAUCUGAUCAAAGUUUUAUAGUAAAGGGCCACCGUGGUGGUAAUGUGACAAUUAGUAAAGCAAAGUAUGGAUACAUUUGGAUUGAAGAUGACACCUAGAAAAUAUGAUAGAACUUAUUUUUCAUUACGCAAAUAAGACAAGUGUUUCUAAUAUUAUUUUAACUUGCAUUAUUAAUCAUUUUCAAAAAAUUAUUUUGUUAUUAAAAAAAUAUCUUUUUCUGAACGCAAUACAAUAAAUAAUCCGCUUUAA